ensembl:lncRNA
UUGCAAGUUAAAAUAUGUUUUUAAGUUUUGAUGACAUGUAAAAUUGGUUUACAUUUUUUUUUUCCAGAUUUCUGCAAAAAGAAGAGUGUCUUGAAAUGGCAGUCUCUGAUGAGAGUUUUCAAUAGUUCUUCAAGUGACACAAAGUGCUCCUAUGACAACCUUAGAAACUCCAACCCAUGCAGUUGUUCCUACAUAAGGAAUUUCCUUCUGUUGUGGUUUAACCUGGCGGGCAGGGUACAUCCUUCUCUGUCUCACCAAGCUGCAAAAUAG